GACGAACGCUGGCGGCGUGCCUAAUACAUGCAAGUCGAGCGAAGUUUUUCUGGUGCUUGCCCUAGAACCACUUAGCGGCGACCGGGUGAGUCACACGUAAAGACCCUGCCUCAUAGUCUGGGACCACUAUUGGAAACGAUAGCUAAUACCGGAUAACAGCAUUCCCUGCAUGUUUGUUGUUUAAAAGUUUGUUUUGCUAACACUAUGAGAUGGCUUUGCGGUGCAUUAGCUAGUUGGUGGGGUAAAGGCCUACCAAGGCGACGAUGCAUAGCCGACCUGAGAGGGUGAUCGGCCACACUGGGACUGAGACACGGCCCAGACUCCUACGGGAGGCAGCAGUAGGGAAUCUUCCGCAAUGGGCGAAAGCCUGACGGAGCAACGCCGCGUGAGUGAAGAAGGAUUUCGGUUCGUAAAGCUCUGUUGUUAGGGAAGAAUGAUUGUGUAGUAAACAUACACAGUAGAGACGGUACCUAACCAGAAAGCCACGGCUAACUACGUG
rnacentral:rRNA from 1 species